rnacentral:tRNA from 1 species
CAGGAUAUGGCCGAGUAGUUAGGCAUCUCUUUUACACGGAGAAUACACCCAUGCAAGUUGGGUUGUCCUGA